AUAUCAAUAAGCGGAGGAAAAGAAACCAACAGGGAUUGCAUCAGUAGCGGCGAGUGAAGCGGCAAGAGCUCAGAUUUGAAAUCUCACCUAGUGUGCGAGUUGUAAAUUGCAGGUUGGAGUCUCGGGUUAGACGUGUGUGCAAGUCCCUUGGAACAGGGUGCCACUGAGGGUGAGAGCCCCGUAGCGUGCAUGUCGACACCUGUGAGGCCCUUCUGACGAGUCGAGUUGUUUGGGAAUGCAGCUCUAAGUGGGUGGUAAAUUCCAUCUAAGGCUAAAUAUUGGCGAGAGACCGAUAGCGAACAAGUACUGUGAAGGAAAGAUGAAAAGCACUUUGAAAAGAGAGUGAAACAGCACGUGAAAUUGUUGAAAGGGAAGGGUAUUGGGCUCGACAUGGGAUUUACGCAUCGUUGCCUCUCGUGGGCGGCGCUCUGGGUUUUUCCUGGGCCAGCAUCGGUUUUCGUUGCAGGAUAAGGACAAUUGGAAUGUGGCUCCUCGGAGUGUUAUAGCCUUUUGUAGAUGCUGCGUAUGGGGACCGAGGGCUGCGGCGGACUCGUUUCGUCUCGGAUGCUGGCACAACGGCGCAAUACCGCCCGUCUUGAAACACGGACC
rnacentral:rRNA from 1 species